GGGGGUAUAGCUCAGUUGGUAGAGUACUUGCCUCACAUGCACAAGGCCCAGCAACACACACACACACACACACAAAAGAUUCCAUUAUUGCCUCUAUGACCUUGGAAAAAUCCCCAGAGUGCAUGCAUAGUAUGUGUAAGGCCAUGGGUUCCAUUCCCAUCACCACCA
rnacentral:tRNA from 1 species